rnacentral:rRNA from 1 species
AUUGAACGCUGGCGGUAGGCCUAACACAUGCAAGUCGAGCGGCAGCAGAGUACUUGCUCCUGGAUUCGGCUGCCGACGGGUGGACGGUGGCUAGAAACAUGCGUAGCUGUGUUGUCUAGCGUCCGAACGCAGGCGCUAUUACGGCAAACGUGCAGAGGACGUACGUGUGAAAUCUUCGGAUCUUCCGAUCUCACGUGAUCCUAGGUGGCGAGGUCGGAUUAGCUAGUUGGCGGGGUAAAGGCCCACCAAGGCGACGAUCCGUAGCUGGUCUGAGAGGAUGAUCAGCCACACUGGAACUGAGACACGGUCCAGACUCCUACGGGAGGCAGCAGUGGGGAAUAUUGGACAAUGGGCGAAAGCCUGAUCCAGCCAUACCGCGUGGGUGAAGAAGGUCUUCGGAUUGUAAAGCCCUUUUGUUUGGAAAGAAGAGCAGUAAGUUAAUACCUCGCUGUUUUGACGGUACCAAAAGAAUAAGCACCGGCUAACUUCGUG